GAUGAACGCUGGCGGCGUGCCUAAUACAUGCAAGUCGAGCGAACAGACGAGGAGCUUGCUCCUCUGACGUUAGCGGCGGACGGGUGAGUAACACGUGGAUCACCUACCUAUCAGACUGGGAUAACCUCGGGAAACCGGAGCUAAUACCGGAUAAUAUCUUGAACCGCAUGGUUCAAUAGUGAAAGACGGUUUUGCUGUCACUUCUAGCUGGAUCCGCGCCGCAUUAGCUAGUUGGUAAGGUAACGGCUUACCAAGGCAACGAUGCGUAGCCGACCUGAGAGGGUGAUCGGCCACACCGGAACUGAGACACGGUCCAGACUCCUACGGGAGGCAGCAGUAGGGAAUCUUCCGCAAUGGGCGAAAGCUUGACGGAGCAACGCCGCGUGAGUGAUGAAGGUCUUCGGAUCGUAAAACUCUGUUAUUAGGGAAGAACAAAUGUGUAAGUAACUAUGCACGUCUUGACGGUACCGAAUCAGAAAGCCACGGCUAACUACGUG
rnacentral:rRNA from 1 species